GACAGAGGGUGCGAACGUUGCUCGGAAUCACUGGGCGUAAAGCGCGUGUAGGCUGACGGUCAAGUCAGGUGUGAAAUCCCUGGGCUCAACCCAGGAACUGCAUCUGAAACUGGCCAUCUUGAGUACUGGAGAGGGAAGUGGAAUUCCUGGUGUAGCGGUGGAAUGCGCAGAUAUCAGGAGGAACACCUAUGGCGAAGGCAGCUCGCUGGGACGGUACUGACGCUGAGGUGCGAAAGCGUGGGGAGCGAACAGG
rnacentral:rRNA from 1 species